AUUUGGGUUGAUCGAGCAAGCGCCGGCCGGGCCUACAGAGCGGGUGACAAAGCCCCAUACGCUCGAGGACCGGACGCGGUGCCGCCGCUGCCUUUCGGGCCCGUCCCCCGGAGAUCGGGGGACGGGGCCCAACACACAAGCCGGGCUUGAGGGCAGCAAUGACGCUCGGACAGGCAUGCCCCCCGGAAUACCAGGGGGCGCAAUGUGCGUUCAAAGACUCGAUGAUUCACUGAAUUUGCAAUUCACAUUACGUAUCGCAUUUCGCUGCGUUCUUCAUCGAUGCCGGAACCAAGAGAUCCGUUGUUGAAAGUUUUAAAUAAUUUAUAUUUUCAGGGGACUUCAAUCUUCAGACAGAGUUCGAGGGUGUCUUCGGCGGGCGCGGGCCCGGGGGCGUAAGCCCCCCGGCGGCCAGUUAAGGCGGGCCCGCCGAAGCAACAAGGUAAAAUAAACACGGGUGGGAGGUUGGACCCAGAGGGCCCUCACUCGGUAAUGAUCCUUCCGCA
rnacentral:misc_RNA from 1 species